GGUGGCUGCGCUGACAUUAUGCAACAGCUGACAGUGGCUUUUCUUUGAUGAAUUUGGACUGAUUAUGUUACUGGAUUAGAUCGUCUGGACCUUUGGCAAUGUACCAACACCGUUUUUGUUGGAAUGUUAUCGAUCUGUGGAUUAAUGUGAUGGUUUUUCUACUUCUGGUCUGACUGAGACGUUGAUUGUACCGGCUGUGGUGAUCGGAUCUAGAAAUGGUUUACAUCAGUUGAAUCAAAAGAGUCUUAGCUUUCUAAGGAUAUGUUGCAUCAGUACCUAGCUGUACGACGCAGUUCUGUAAAUAACAAUGUUUGACGCUGAUCAGUAAAACAGCCCACUGGACGGCACCCGCGGGGGGUGUUUGCGAUGAGGUUAAGUCCAAAUUAUUUUUACCCAGUCUAUGUAAACAGAUGUGUUAGUGUAUGCCUUUUUUUGUAAAUUGGUGCAAGUGAGGGGGCUGGUGUGGGGGAGUAGGGUAGGAGUAGCUGGGGGAAUCAAUACUUUCUGGGCAGCUCUAUUAUGGAACAGGAUUUUACCCAUUUGGAAAGAAAAAACUAAUCAGAGUGGUUAGUGUUAAUAAUGUGGCAGCAACAAGGAAUGACGUAUUUGUAUAGACAUUGUGAAAUGAAAAACUACUUUUGAUUAUUGUGAGCUGUAUGGUCACACGAAGCACUGCCAAAUUUCCUCAACAAUACUUAUUACAUAUCACAGCUAAAGUCAAACAAACAAACAAAGUGGAAGCUCAUGCAGUGUUUUUUAAAGUACGCAAAGAUGCUUUAAUUGGAUGUGUGGAGCUUUCAUGUAUCCUCCUCUCACUGCUUUUUAAAGUUUGCAUGCGUGAUUUGUAAGAAAGAUGUGAUCGAUGUACAUGUUGAGCAGGGUUCAGUCAUCUAGGAAUGGAAACAGCCCAAACCCUCAUCAGAAAAUAGUUUGGUUCCGGGCAAUCGUUUGUUUUAAUUUUUUUAAUUAUUAUCAUCACAUCACUACAUGCCCAUGUCAAAUGACCUAAGAUGACAGAAAUGUAUUUACAAUAUAUAUAAAUUAUCCCAAACCGGAAGUUCCAAUUGAUUAUUCAUGGUAAACCAUUUAAUAGUAAGUAGACCAUGAAGGCCAUCUCUUUUGAAACAGGUUUAAGUUCCACUUCAGUCUAAGAUAUUACACUUCUGUUUACAUAUUUUCUGGGGCCAAUUUCAUGUAUCUGUUUAAGUGCUGAUAUCCGCAUGGAUCCUUAAAAAGUAUUUUUCAUGGUCAUUUUGAAUUUUUUCUUUCAUUUUGCCUUGCAGCACACGUUCAGAUGGAGGACCCCUUCUGGAAUAGUAUUGAUUUCCUCCACAAUUUUUUUUCCAGAAGCUUGUAGCAGUUUGAUGAUUUUUUUUAUUUAAUUUGCUUUCUGUGUUGGAGCUAUAGGUUAGGCUGAGUGGUUAAGAUAAGAUUAUCGUAGCCACAGGAUUGAUAAUUAUGUGCACGAUUUAUUAGGUGUUAAAUCAAUGUUUAAUCAUUACAAUCUCUAAAUCAACCAGAAAAUAGUAAAUUAACAAAUAUAACAGUAUCAAAUAUCCUUAACAAGCACUUUGGGAAUAGAAGCGAACAGAAGCAUCCUGCACAUGCAAUGAACACAGCAAACAGGUAAAUAUGCAAUUACUUUUCUUAAUUAACGCACACAGGUAAACCACAAGAAGAAACACAAUAGCAACUAACUGAAUUUUGGAUUCGGAGAAUCAUUACAGCUAUGCUAUUAGGUCAUCAUUUCACAGUAUCUCUUAAUUCUGAUCCAGAUAUAUUUCUACUUUGUUUAUUGUCUGUUUUUUGUGUCCCCCGUUGACUUUCUGUUCAGAAGGUUAUAUUUAGACACAACACAUUUAUCCUACUGCUUUAUUAACCUCAACCUAAUUUAAGAAUAAUCAUUUAAUCAAGUGGGUAUUAAUGGCACUCGAGCUGCAUGGUAAGAUAUGCUUCAUUUUGGGGAGGGCAAGUUCCGUGUACUUCUCAUUCCAGAAAAAAAAUGCUUGCCUCAUGGAGCUCAGCGUAAGUUCAGUAAGGAAGACUUAAAACCCCAUUCAGAUCAGCUGACUGUGGGCGGUCCUAAAUAUCGGGAAUGCCCAUGGGAGGGCUUAACCUGUAUGCGUCAGCUGAUCGUAGGUGUUCCCAAUCAUCUAAUCAGGCCCGCGCUGUUUCCUUCAGCCAGUCACACAGCAGCUGUCAAACUUUAAAAAUCCCUUCUCUUCUCUUCCUCAGCAGUGUCAAUGCAGUGACUCGCACAACCCCUCCUCCACCCCAAUCUCCUCCAGUGACUUAGUCCUGGCACAGGACUAAGUCAUCCUAAUUGAUUGAUUGAUUAUUUAUUUAAGCCUCGGAAAUCACAUUGAGGAAUAAGACCCUAAUUUACAAUGGUGUCGAGGGUACAAUAAAGAGUAAAACAUGAGAAAUAAAUAAAUAAGAAUAAAAUAAAUAAAUAUGCAUAUAUACAUACAGCAAUAGAAAGUAAAAGGUCACAAAUCAACCCUGACAAUUCAAUAAAUACUAUAAAAUACUAUGGUUAAGCUUAACCCAACUAAAAGUUACAAUCACUGCAGGAGAAGCCAGCCCUACAUGAAGCGCUGGUGCCUUAUUUCACACAAGAGCUUGUGAAGGAGCUCAAAAACAGUCCUUACAACCUUGUUACAAAUGGGUCAAAUGACACAGGAGUGCAAAAGAUGAACCUGCUUACUAGCCGGGUCUUCGUGGGAAGCAAAGUUGUCGUGUACAACAAAUGGGAAGACAUGUGAGACAGUAAGCGAGAUCUUCGCAAGAUUAACUCCACCCUAGAGGAGCAUGGUAUCUCAUUGCUCUCUCAGUUGACAAUGCAGCUGUGAACAUUGGACCAAGCCAUUCCAUCGCCUCUAGGGUGCUCCAGAAACACCCAAACACCUAUAUUCUUGGUUGUUCUUGUCACGUGGCACAUAACACCGCAAAAGCUGCAGGAGAGGGAUUUUUUUAAGUGUUUCGGUUUUGAUUUGGAGGACAUGGUAGUGGACAUCGGUUACUCGUUCAAAGUGUUAUUAUGAAAAUCAGGCCAGAUUCAAGAGGCUUGUGCAGGCAUUUACUGACCCCAUGACAGAAGUCUACCUGCUGUUCUACCAACCCACCGUACCAACCUUACCUGAUUUCAACUUGCUUCUCCAGAGAGAGCAGUCAGCAAUAUAUUUGUUACAUGAUGGGGUGGGUUUGAACCUAGCUGUUUUUUCCAUUCUGUGUUUCUUGCUGAUAUCUGCAGGGAUCUAAUAUUUGUGAAUGUCUGUCAUGGAUGGUGAAAUUCGUACGCAACCUAUGUUCCAAAUGUAUGGUUCCAGCAGCUCUGCAAUGCCAUGAGGAGCCUUGAGAAUUGCCUAUAAAGAGAAGGCAAACCAUUUGCUAUGUUAGUGUUUGACUAUUACUAUGAUCAGGGCAGAGCGUGGCCUAGGGGAUAGAGUGGGUGUUCUGCAACAAGAAGGUUGCCGGUUCGAACCCACUCUUUCCCAUCUGCAUGCCUUAGUGUCCUUGGCAAGAUACUGAACCCCUAAAAUGGCCCCUCAUAAAUGCUGAGUGUUCUAAAAAUGUAAGUAGCUUUGGACAAAAGCGUCAGCUAAAUGACAUGUAAUGUAAUGUAAUCAGGAGAGGCGGUGGUCUAGUGGCAGAAAAUUGGACUAUGGGCAGAGAAGGUCUCUGGUCUGCUCUGGUUCGACUCCUCGGAGAGACAACAAAAGACCAACCUGGAUUGAUCUGUCCAAAAAUCCAAGAGUCUCCCUACCCUGUCUACUGCCCCUGAGCAAGGCACCUUACUGCCCCAACAUCUGCUCCCCGAGCACCGUACAUGGUGGCUCACUGCUCUCUGUGUCCUACACCGGAUGGGUUAAAAGCAGAGAUUAAAUUUCCCUACCUGCAUGAGUGUGCCUUUGCAUUUCUGUGCAUGUGUUUGGGACUAAUAAAUGCAUCUUAAUCAUACACUUUGAUAUGUGAUAAAUAAAAUAUGAUAUUUAGCCUUGUACCUAGUUUUUUGCCACUGCAUGAGUAGAAACCUAAGGUUUGUGGUAGUCCUUCCAACAGUGGGCGUCUGGUUGGAUUUCUUGCCCUAUGUGUCAAGCUGAUAUUGCUGCAUCAGUAUGUUAAACCAUUUAUGUUAACCUGAUAUACUCUAUCUGUACAGGGAAAAAGUUGAACAUUGAGUUCACAAUCAGGGCUAAACUUAACAGAUAUCUUGAUGAGGCUGACAUCACGGCAGGUGGAUUCAUUCCAUGAAGCUGUGUUGAGUUUACUAACAAGUGCUGUGGGCUAUGCACUUAUGAAGCUGCCAUUGGUCAAACACGCAAAUUUGCGGAUGUGCGGCAGAGGGCUGAAAGUGGCAUUGAAGACGUCCUGUACUUUGUUGAAAGGUUUCCCCAUCUCCUCCCAUAACAUGGGCCAGACGAGCAUGACCACCUGGGUGAGGACUUUCUGAAUUAUCAGACCAUGCCAACAACCUCCCUUCAGGACGAAACUGAGAUGAAAAGCAUCUGGGCUGGAAUGGCAACAGGGAAACAUAAGGUGACAGGAGCCAAAGAAUUUGAGGGGGUUGUUGCCAUCGGCAAGCUGGUGCUGGUGUUGACCCAUUCGAAUACAGACGCUGAGAGGGUGUUUUAAGUUGUGGGACUUGUCAUAUAUGGUAGUUUAAUGCGCUUGCGCAUAUACUAUGGGUUAUACGGUAGUUGCGGACACAUGUCAUUGAUGUAUGUUAGUGAGCCAAGUUGUGAGACACGGUGAUGCAUUAAAGCGAGCUGAGCUACUAAGAAGCCUCUUUAGCGUUGAUUUACAGGACUGAACAAAACUAAGACCAGAAAUAGCCUGGCAUUGGUUGGCAGCCUCUCGUCAAUAAUGGCCUUAAAGAUGGCCGACCUGGAGCCCUGUUUUCGAUGGGAGCCCCCCUCAGAGUUCAUCAAGGCCUCCAAGAAGGCCACAGGCCAGUACAACCUUGCCCACAAAUCUUAUAAAAUGUCUAACUAGCUUCGGAUCUGCAUCUGAUACCUCAUUUUUUGUUAUUUUUGUCACUUUAUGAUCCAUUGUAUUGCUUAAAAAGGCUAUUCUUUAAGCACUAUAUUUGUUGCAAAUUUUUGUUUGAUGGAAAGUGUGGUGGGAGGCUUUGAAUAAUGAAAAAUAUUUCCCCCA